GCUUCGGUAGUGUAACGGAAAGCACGGCAGACCGGAUAUCUGUAAGUGCGGGUACGAGUCCCGCCUGAGGUU
rfam:Dictyocaulus viviparus strain HannoverDv2000 D_viviparus-1.0_Cont1557.1, whole genome shotgun sequence.